rnacentral:rRNA from 1 species
UACGUAGGGGGCAAGCGUUAUCCGGAUUUACUGGGUGUAAAGGGAGCGUAGGUGGUUCGGUAAGUCAGAUGUGAAAGCCCGGGGCUCAACCCCGGGACUGCAUUUGAAACUAUCGAACUAGAGUGCGGGAGAGGUAAGUGGAAUUCCUAGUGUAGCGGUGAAAUGCGUAGAUAUUAGGAGGAACACCAGUGGCGAAGGCGGCUUACUGGACUGUAACUGACACUGAGGCUCGAAAGCGUGGGGAGCAAACAGG